GACGUAGGGCGCGAGCGUUGUCCGGAUUUAUUGGGCGUAAAGAGCUCGUAGGCGGCUUGUUGCGUCGUCCGUGAAAACCUGCGGCUCAACUGCAGGCUGGCGGUCGAUACGGGCAGGCUGGAGUUCGGUAGGGGAGACUGGAAUUCCUGGUGUAGCGGUGAAAUGCGCAGAUAUCAGGAGGAACACCGGUGGCGAAGGCGGGUCUCUGGGCCGAUACUGACGCUGAGGAGCGAAAGCGUGGGGAGCGAACAGG
rnacentral:rRNA from 1 species